CCUACGGGAGGCAGCAGUGGGGAAUAUUGGGCAAUGGGCGCAAGCCUGACCCAGCAACGCCGCGUGAAGGAAGAAGGCUUUCGGGUUGUAAACUUCUUUUCUCAGGGACGAAGAAAGUGACGGUACCUGAGGAAUAAGUCACGGCUAACUACGUGCCAGCAGCCGCGGUAAUACGUAGGUGGCAAGCGUUAUCCGGAUUUACUGGGUGUAAAGGGAGUGUAGGCGGGAAAGCAAGUCAGAUGUGAAACACAUGGGCUCAACCUGUGGUCUGCAUUUGAAAAUGUUUUUCUUGAGUACUGGAGAGGCAGACGGAAUUCCUAGUGUAGCGGUGAAAUGCGUAGAUAUUAGGAGGAACACCAGUGGCGAAGGCGGUCUGCUGGACAGCAACUGACGCUGAGGCGCGAAAGCGUGGGGAGCAAACAGGAUUAGAUACCCCAGUAGUC
rnacentral:rRNA from 1 species